rnacentral:rRNA from 1 species
CCUACGGGGGGCAGCAGUGAGGAAUAUUGGUCAAUGGACGAGAGUCUGAACCAGCCAAGUCGCGUGAAGGAUGACUGCCCUAUGGAUUGUAAACUUCUUUUAUAUGGGAGUAAAAUGCUCCACGUGUGGCAUUUUGUAUGUACCAUAUGAAUAAGGAUCGGCUAACUCCGUGCCAGCAGCCGCGGUAAUACGGAGGAUCCGAGCGUUAUCCGGAUUUAUUGGGUUUAAAGGGUGCGUAGGUGGAUUGUUAAGUCAGUUGUGAAAGUUUGCGGCGCAACCGUAAAAUUGCAGUUGAAACUGGCAGUCUUGAGUACAGUAGAGGUAGGCGGAAUGCGUGGUGUAGCGGUGAAAUGCUUAGAUAUCACGAAGAACUCCGAUGGCGAAGGCAGUUCACUGGACUGCAACUGACGCUGAGGCUCGAAAGUGUGGGUAUCAAACAGGAUUAGAUACCCGGGUAGUC